rnacentral:lncRNA from 1 species
GGCCUAAUCACAUUAGGUUGUGGUCCAUGAUCAUCUGGUGUGAUUGCUUAUACACAUACUAGAUAUGUAUAUAUAUUUGCAUGCGAUGUAGAUAUAUAUUAAAUAUGUAUAUGUGUGAUAUGUCAUAUUAGGAGACCAAAUCUUAGAAACAUCUCUCGAUAAUAUUAAGUCGGUAAACGUGAGGCAAUUAGAUUGACCCACGUGGCCUUCCA